UACGAGUGCCCCAAGCGUUAUCCGGAAUCAUUGGGCGUAAAGGGUGUGUAGGUGGCGAUGUUAGUCUUCUGUCAAAUCCUUCGGCUUAACCGGGGGUCCGCAGGGGAAACGGCAUUGCUCGAGGAUGCGAGGGGUGAAUGGAACUCAUGGAGUAGGGGUGAAAUCCGUUGAUAUCAUGGGGAACACCAAAAGCGAAGGCAAUUCACUGGCGCAUUCCUGACACUGAAACACGAAAGCGUGGGUAGCGAACGGG
rnacentral:rRNA from 1 species